AAUUUAUUCCAGCAAGAGGGAAUGAGUCUCUACGCAUUUGUAGGGGAAUGCACCGGCGAAGCAGUGUUUUGCAUGUAAUUUGCACUAAAAUAAUUGUUGAGUAAUUUCUUGCAUAGUCUGCAAGGUAGAUGUAACAGAUCUUACCUUUCAGGAUCGAAGCUGCUUAGAACAUAAUUUUCAACGGCUAGUUUGAGCUCGGGAAAAUCUUCGCACACCCAUCUGAGAAGAUAAAGCGGUUGUGUUUGGUUUUAGAUGGAGCUUCGGGAAAAAAAUAACUGCCUUGUUUGAAGUUAGUACUAAGUGUCUACUUGCAAAUCGAUCGGUACCUUAUUGCUUCGACGAUCUCUGAAGCGUCAUCUCUUCCAUCCUGAGGACAAUAAACAGUGGUCAUGAUCUAACCGGGAGUUAUAUCGGCUGUGACUGGAUGUGGGACAUCUUAUGCAAACUGCACCAACAUCACCCAUCAUUGCUGGUGCAGACCCUUCAAACAGAAGGCAGAGCGCCAACAUCACCGAUCAUUGCUGACAUAGCCACCUCAAUCGCUAGGUCCAGCAAAGCUGUGUUUAUCUGGCAUGCUAGUGAUCAUUUCAUGGCUAGACAGGAAAACUUUCUACUAGCAUUAUUGCUAUGCAGCCAGGUCAAGUCUCAAGUUAUUAUGCUAAAAAGCUACAGUCAAGGAGAGGCUUAUGUAGGUAAUUUGUGUACAAAAAUAAUGUAUUACUGACUAGAAACUGUCAAGCUGUCACGUUUAAGUAGACAAGAAACUGCCAAGCUGUCACAUUCAAGUAACAAUGGUAUGUAUACCCCAUUGUAAAGAGGGCUAUACAAUAAAUAGUGAUCUGUUCAACCUAAAUCUGCAAUGAUGCAUUUUGCAUCAGUGAAGAGAGUGCAUAGGCAAGUUCUGAGUAGAUAGACAGCUCCAACUCAUGGCUGUCUGGCUCUGGGCAAAUGCAAGCAUAGUUGUGACGAGUGACAAGCCCCAAGGUCCCAAACCCCAACUCAUAGCUGUCUGGCUCUGGGCAUAAUGCAAGCAUAGUUGUGAUGACUGACAAGCCCCAAGGACCUUUGCUUGGUUAAGAUCUUUUCAGCAAGGCUAUAACCCCAGCAGUGCCUUGGCCUCUUGACUUUGCUGCAUGAGAGCUUCACUGGCAUACUUGUCAAGCAGUUCCUGAGAGGAGGAAAAGGGAUUAGUUAGAGUGGACUGUUGCUUCAAGUCACCCUCUAUGAUACCCUUACAGGUGAAGUCAGUAUGUUUACAUCCUGCAAUGAUUGAGAGAAACCUUAGGGGAAUGAUCUGUUUAUCUAGUAACACUCGCAAAAGAGCAAUGUGUAAAUAACAAACAAUUUAACUUAUUUAAAAGAUAACUUGUAUAACCUACCCUUUUCUUUCUCUGAACAAGAAGCUCCUCAACCUGAAAAAAAAUUAUCAUAUCUUAUAAAUUUUGAAACUUUUCAUCCUUAUCUAGUUCUAUGAGGAAUAUUGUUAGCAAAAUCAAUAAUAAUAAAAUAUUGUACAUUUAAAUAAAAGAAGUAAAAUGAAGUUAAACAAAAUAAAAGCAUGUGUGCUACAAUAAAACUUCA